rnacentral:lncRNA from 1 species
CUGAAUGCUUUGAUGGGAUCGUUCCUGGCUGCCCAGAGUCAGUCUUCUCCGACGCCUUCAACUCCUCCCCAGAGGACAGUUAUCUCCGAGGUUGUUUCCUCAACUGUGUCUGCAGCCAGUGCAAACUUUGCUCUUAUAGCCAUGCCAACCGGGUUUCCAUAGGGGAUGCCUCCUAACUUUAUGCCUGAGGGUCCUGCUCCAACUUUUGCU